rnacentral:rRNA from 1 species
ACACGUAGGGGGCAAGGCGUUGUUCGGAAUUACUGGGCGUAAAGGGCAUGUAGGCGGUUUAGUAAGCUUGGCGUGAAAGACCACGGCUUAACUGUGGGGUUGCGUUGAGAACUGCUGAACUUGAGUUACGGAGAGGGAGCUAGAAUUCCUGGUGUAGGGGUGGAAUCUGUAGAGAUCAGGAAGAAUACCGAUGGCGAAGGCAAGCUUCUGGCCGAUAACUGACGCUGAGGUGCGAAAGUGUGGGGAUC